AUCCUCUCAGGGUCGCACCUGGAGAGUUUCCAGUACUCUACCAGUCUUGUCUAUGGGAGGGAGAGUCAAGCAGAGGUAUGCUGAGUCCAUUCCUAGCUUGGGCAAUGGCUAGUGAGUGGAAGGCAAACUGCUAUAAGU